rnacentral:rRNA from 1 species
UCAGGAUGAACGCUAGCUACAGGCUUAACACAUGCAAGUCGAGGGGCAGCAUUGGAGUAGCAAUACUCAGAUGGCGACCGGCGCACGGGUGAGUAACACGUAUCCAACCUGCGCUUACUCGGGGAUAGCCUUUCGAAAGAAAGAUUAAUACCCGAUGGGUAUAAAGAGUUCGCAUGUUCUCUUUAUUAAAGAAUUUCGGUAAGCGAUGGGGAUGCGUUCCAUUAGAUAGGUUGGCGGGGUAACGGCCCACCAAGUCUACGAUGGAUAGGGGUUCUGAGAGGAAGGUCCCCCACAUUGGAACUGAGACACGGUCCAAACUCCUACGGGAGGCAGCAGUGAGGAAUAUUGGUCAAUGGACGAGAGUCUGAACCAGCCAAGUAGCGUGAAGGAUGACUGCCCUAUGGGUUGUAAACUUCUUUUAUAAAGGGAAUAAAGUGAGGGACGUGUCCCUUUUUGUAUGUACCUUAUGAAUAAGGAUCGGCUAACUCCGUGCCAGCAGCAGC